CCUCAGUCGGGUUUGAGGCACCACGGGGAGCGUACGUCCGCGUCUGUCGCUGUGAGAAUCGAUUCUAUAUGCGAUAGAUUGGGGACUAUUACACCGGUUAUGGGUGACUUGUGGGCCAAGACAUGCCGCCCCUGGUAUGUCCCUCUAGCCCGAGAAACUUAAGGGGAGGAAUAACUGAUAAAAGUAAAAUAAGGAAACAUUAAAGAAAGAUUUCAUUCAUAAGAUAACAAGUGAGACAUAAAGAUAAUAACUAGGGGGAAAUAUUUAAGUGCGUGAGACAUAAAUUAUAUAUUCUUGGUAAAAUACUCGAGUCAUAAGGACAAUAUUCAUGAGACAUAAAUAUUAAAUACCGGGUGAUAUUCAAGUGAGACAUUAAAUAUUAUAUUCCCGGGAAAGAUACUGCAGUGUGUGAGACAUUAAAAUAUGCUCAGUGAAUAAAAGUAAAUUUUAUUAUAAAAGAGAAAAAAAAAGACUUUGAGGGAAAUAAAGAAAUUAAUUGAGACAAAAAAUAAGAACUAAGUGAUCGAGGUAUAAAAUAAACUGACAAAAAUAAAACAAAACUGACUGAGAAAAAUAUUUGGUAUAUAUAAUUAAGACGUAGAUAAAACAGUGAGACAAAAACAACGAAAUACAUACAGAAAAAAAACAGUGACAAAAAAACAAAAAAAAACUCAGUGCGUCGAGCAAAAAAAAAAAAAAUAA